rnacentral:rRNA from 1 species
GAUGAACGCUGGCGGCGUGCCUAAUACAUGCAAGUCGAGCGAACAGAUGAGGAGCUUUCUCCUCUGCCGUUAGCGGCGGACGGGUGAGUAACACAUGGAUAACCUUCCUCUAAGUCUGGGAUGACUUCGGAAAACCAGUGCUACUACUGCCUCAUAUAUUCAACGGCUUGGUUCAAGAGUUAAAGACGCCUUUCCCGUUACUUUUAGAUGAUUCCGCGCCGGAUUAGUUAGUUGGUAAGGUCACGGCUUACCAAGGCAACGAUGCGUAGCCGACCUGAGAGGGUGAUCGGCCACACUGGAACUGAGACACGGUCCAGACUCCUACGGGAGGCAGCAGUAGGGAAUAUUGCGCAAUGGGCGAAAGCCUGACGGAGCAACGCCGCGUGGGUGAUGAAGGUCUUCGGAUCGUAAAACUCUGUUAUUAGGGAAGAAAAAAUGUGUAAGUAACUAUGCACGUCUUGACGGUACCUAAACAGAAAGCCACGGCUAACUACGUG